UACGUAGGGGGCAAGCGUUGUCCGGAUUUAUUGGGCGUAAAGAGCUCGUAGGUGGUUCGGUAAGUCGGGUGUGAAAACUCCAGGCUCAACCUGGAGACGCCACCUGAUACUGCUGUGGCUAGAGUCCGGUAGGGGAGCAUGGAAUUCCUGGUGUAGCGGUGAAAUGCGCAGAUAUCAGGAGGAACACCAGUGGCGAAGGCGGUGCUCUGGGCCGGAACUGACGCUGAGGAGCGAAAGCGUGGGGAGCAAACAGG
rnacentral:rRNA from 1 species